rnacentral:rRNA from 1 species
UACGUAGGGUGCAAGCGUUGUCCGGAAUUAUUGGGCGUAAAGAGCUCGUAGGCGGUCUGUCGCGUCGGAUGUGAAAAUCCAGGGCUCAACCCUGGACCUGCAUUCGAUACGGGCAGACUAGAGUUCGGCAGGGGAGACUGGAAUUCCUGGUGUAGCGGUGAAAUGCGCAGAUAUCAGGAGGAACACCGGUGGCGAAGGCGGCUUCCUGGUCCAGCACCGACGUUCAGGCACGAAAGCGUGGGGAGCAAACAGG